rnacentral:rRNA from 1 species
GACGAACGCUGGCGGCGUGCCUAAUACAUGCAAAUCGAGCGGGGAUUAUGCUUGAUCGCUUCGGUGAGACGGCAUAUAUCCUAGCGGCGGACGGGUGAGUAACGCGUGGGUAAUCUACCUCGUAGUUCGGGAUAACAGGCCGAAAGGCUUGCUAAUACCGGAUGAGUUCAUGCUUAUGCAUAUAGGCAUGAAGAAAGGGCUAGCCCGCUAUGAGAUGAGCCCGCGUCCCAUUAGCUUGUUGGUGGGGUAAUGGCCUACCAAGGCAACGAUGGGUAGCCGGCCUGAGAGGGUGUACGGCCACACUGGGACUGAGAUACGGCCCAGACUCCUACGGGAGGCAGCAGCUAAGAAUAUUCCGCAAUGGACGAAAGUCUGACGGAGCGACGCCGCGUGGAUGAAGAAGGCCGAAAGGUUGUAAAGUCUUUUGCUAGGGGAGAAUAAGUGAGGAGGGAAUGCCCUCAUGAUGACAAGGACUAGCGAAUAAGCCCC